UAAGGAAUCUUCGGCAAUGGACGAAAGUCUGACCGAGCAACGCCGCGUGAGUGAAGAAGGUUUUCGGAUCGUAAAACUCUGUUGGUAGAGAAGAACGUUGGUGAGAGUGGAAAGCUCAUCAAGUGACGGUAACUACCCAGAAAGGGACGGCUAACUACGUGCCAG
rnacentral:rRNA from 1 species